rnacentral:lncRNA from 12 species
AGGGUAACCACACAUCCUGAUGGGCCAGGACAGUUUAUACAUGUUAUCCCAGGGAACUUGGUGGUAGUGCCCUCUUUCACACUUAAAAGUGUCUUGGUUUGGAUGCCAUAUUAGAAGGACAUACUCUUUGAAGGGACAUCGAUUAACAGCACAGAAGAUGGCUUAAAUGUCUGCCUUUACAGAGGGGAUUAGACAGGGACCUCAAAGGUCCUUUGGAACCACCAACGCCUUGAGGAUGUGUAGGGUUUCUUUGAGAAUCAGGGCACUGUGAGCAGCACAUAGUUCCAUACUUGCUCAGAAACAACUAGAAUUUGGGGAAGCUCCUACUGUCAAGAAAUUCCUGCAGCUGUCUGGCUCUUAAUACUUGCAUGAUGUUAGGGUCCUUGUUUACCAAAAGCUACAAUGAUAGGGAACCCCUUCUUGGCUCAUUUGCUCAUCUUGGCCUUUGCAAGUGACUGGUCAGGUCAGUUUGGAUCUGUUUAGGGUGCUGUGGACGCUCUUAUGCCUGUUGCUUCCUUAAACAGAUUCAUGGAUCCCUUUCGUGGGGCUGAGUGCAGGUCCCCUCCCAUCCACCAACAAGAUUUCUUUUACGGGAGCAAUAAAAUCCAGACCACUCUGUGCUAUAUUCACAAACUAUCUGCUGCUUUCAUCAGUGUGAUCCAGGUUACUUCCUGUUUGACAGCCACUGACGUGGAUGCAAAAGGCAUUGAGAGCCUGAGGCCUUGGCACCUCUACCAGCCCUGCAAAGUGCCAAGAGGUCAGCUUGAGUGUAACUCUGACAGAUGAAAUCUGCUCCUUUG